AAGUCGUAACAAGGUAACCGUAGGUGAACCUGCGGUUGGAUCAUUAACAAAUUCAAUCAAAAAUUGAGGGAAACCUCUUUUUUUACACACAAUGUGAACUAUUUAUUGUCUCUGGUGGUUCUUUUAGAUUUAUUUCUAAUCCCACCUAUUAUAAAACUUUAUUUAUUGGCCUUUAUAUCUUAAAAAAAAAGUUAAAUUAAAAAACAACUUUUGGCAACGGAUCUCUAGGCUCUU
rnacentral:misc_RNA from 1 species